rnacentral:lncRNA from 1 species
GGACUGAUACAUGAAUGCAUGACUGAAUAUGCAAUGGUACUUGAUACCAGAUUUGUGAUAAAAUAUGAACAUGAACUGAAUACCAAGUUGUAUAGAAUAUUGAACGGAAAACUAAAUAAGCUUAAGGAGAACUGUUACCUUGAGCUUGAUUUGGAUUGGCGGAGAAGAGGUGAGGAUACUUGGUACGCAUGUCUGCUUCUGCUUCCCAAGUAGCUCCCUCAAUGGAUUGAUUUU